UUUGUGUUUUUUUUGCUUUAUUUAUAUUAUCUGUUUUUUACAUAUUUGGCCUUUAUUUUAUUUUAGUUCAUGUUUCAUAUGCUUUGCGAGCUUUUCUUAUCUAUUUAGUUUUGUACAUUCGUUUUGAAAUUUAGUUUAGAUUUAUACUUUUUACUCUACUCAUAUUACUUUAUAUUUACCUCCAUCCUUAUGUAGGCCGAGUUUUGUAUUUUAUUGUUCUGGUUUAUUUUCUUUUAUUUCUAUUAUGUGCUCUUACAUAUCCUUUUUCAGGUUGCUUUAAUUCAUUGUUGUUAUCUGAUUUGGGAUCUUCUAUCUUAUAUUUUGUGUUUUGCAUGCUUGUUUGGAGUUUGUGUUUCUGUCUUUUUGGAAACUUUGUUUUAUUUUGUAGACUACUGCUACAUUUCUCGAUGAAUCUCGUGGGAAAGGAUCGAAACCUGGGCUUUAGUGCAAAGUGACGGAGUUUAGGUUUGGGGCCAAAAUGUCAUCUUUGUCUAUAGCAGCUUAUUGAAAAACCAUGGGUUGUAGCUAUUUCAGUGAGGUAUUGGAGGAGAACAAGCAACUUUCUUUCUUUUAUUUUCCCAAUCAACAACCAAGUAACCUAUACAAAUGGGAAAAAAAAUCUUGAUAAUGCUCAUAGGGUUUCAGCUCCAUUUCAUCUUAGAAAUUUCUAAUAUUCUCCAAAGGAAAUAAUAUUUACUCAAUGAAGAAAAUAGUAGAAUAAAAAAUACCUAAAAAGAACAAAAUUCAUGAAACUGGACAUGUGAAAAAAAUACAAAAUUGUCUAUACAAGAAAUUAAAAACACAAUAAGAAAAUAAAAACAAAAAUGUGAAACUCGAUAUAUAAAGAUGGAAAGAAACAAAAAGUAAAACAAAACAGAAAUGCAAGAGAAUAUAAACCUGGAUUUGAAAAAACAAAUAACUAAAUAUAUGAAGCCAUAUAAUGAACAAAAAUAGAAAUAAAGAAAACAAAUUAAAAAUAAAAACAAUUAGGAUGAAAAGAAACAAAAAUGAAGUGAACAAAAAGAUGACAAGCAAACAAAAAAUAAAAACAAUUAGGAUGAAAAGAAACAAUAAUGGAUUUAUGAAAGUGUAAAUAGCAGUGGAAAAUUAACAGGAAUUAAAAUACAUUAAAAUAUAAAAGUGAAUUUACAAGAAAAUAAAAUACAUGGAAAUUCCAAAAUAUACAAAACCAAUUGUAUGGAUAUAGAUAAUGGAACAAACAAAACAACUAGAAACAGAAAAAAAGAAUGUGCAAAAAUGAAUGUGAAAACAGAAAAUAAAUAUAAAAUAGAACAAAAUUAAAAAGUAAAAUUGGAUUUGCAAAAAAAGAGAGGAAAUAAAUGUCCAAACAAAUACAGAAAGCAAAUUUUUGAAAUCGGGCUAUGAUCCAACUAAGAAGAAUAAAUACAAUAUAAUGAGUAACCGAAUUUAAAAAAAAAGGAUAGUGAAAUAGAAAAUCUAAAACAAAAAAAAAAAAUAAAACUGAAUUUUUGAAAGAUAACAUAAAGACACAAAUGGUAAAUAAAAGAUAGAAAGUUGCUUCUCCCCCAAAACCUCACUGAAAUGGCUGCAACUCAUGGUUUUUCAAUGAGCUGCUAUAGACAAAGUUGGCAUUUUGGCCCCAAAUUAUCACCUAAACUCCGUCACUUUGCAGUAAAGCCCAAGUUUCCAUCCUUUCUCAGGAGGUUCUUGGGGAAAUGUUGCAGUAGUCUAAAAAAUAAAACAGAAUUUGCAAAAAGAUAGAAACACAAACUCCAAACAAGUAUGCCAAACACAAAAUAUAAGAUAGAAGAUCCCAAGUCAAAUAACAACAAUGAAUUAAAGCAACCUAAAAAGGGGAACAUGUGAAAGCACAUAAUAGAAAUUAAAGAAAAUAAACUAGAACAAUAAAAUAUAAAACUCGGGCUAUAUAAGGAUGGAAGGCAUAUAUAAAGUAAAAUGAGUAGAGUAAAAAGUAUAAAUCUAAACUAAAUUUCAAAAGAAUGUACAAAACUAAAUAUAUAAGAAAAGCUCGCAAAGCAUAUGAAAAAUGAAAUAAAAAAAAUUGAAGGCCAAAUAUGUAAAAACCAGAUAAUAUAAAUAAAGCAAAAAAAAUACAAAAUUGAAUUUGUGAAAGUGAACGUAAAGAUGGAAAAUAAAUAGAAAACAAGAAUAAAUCAUAUAGAAAAGACUAAAUAUCAAGUUGAGUUUUCCAAAAAUAAAAAAAUGGAAUGCAAAUACAAAAAAUCAAAAAUGUUAGCCAGGUUAUAAAACAAGUAGCAAAAGAUAGAAGAGAAAAGCAAAACUGAAUAUUGAAAAACUAACUAAACUAACAACAAGAGUACAAACUAGAAUUAGUUGAAGUAAACAUACAAAAAAGAAUAUUAUAAACUAAUAAAAAAAAAUGAUAUCACAAAAAAACACAAAGAAGAAUGUAUAAAAAAAGACAGAAUACACAAGAAGAUCCAUGAUUUGAAAUAAAACAUAAAAACAAAAAGAAACCGAAAAACAGAAAAAAGACAGAAGAUAAAAUAAACAGAAAAAAAUGCAUAUCUGUAGAAAGGUGUAGGAAAUAUAACAAAAUAGAAAAAAAAACAAUGAUACAAAUCAGAGAUACAUGUCUCCAUCUUCCUACUCUUCUACUAUUACUAGUCCUGAUACGUAUUGUUUGGUAAAAGUGGAUUGAAUUGAAUUACCCCAGCAAGGGUAUCCAUAACAGUGGUUGUUAAACGCUUUACUUUUUGGGAGGGUUGUCAGGAGGGUGGGUGGUAGGGCUUGACAUGAACAGAAAUUGAAUUUUGAUAAGAAAGAUAAAUGGAGUGGAAAAUAGGUGGUUACCUUUUUUAUUUUGCCAGACACUUAACUUAUUUAUGCCCCUCAGAAAAGAGAGCAACAGCUAAAAGACAUAUUCAUUUGUUCUUUGAGCCAAGAACUUAAUGUUCACUUAAUCUUAUCAGUAACAUACAUCACAUGUGCUGAGUUCAGGUUCACAAAAACUAAUCUUUCUAAAUUAGUUCUUUUCUGUAGGAUUUUCUUCACUAAAAUCUAAUAUUUUUUGUGGGUGCAAUUCAUAUAACUUUUACUUAAUAAGAUAUGCAUUUUAUUCUUUCACACUUCUUAACAAAUUCUGAUAUUUCUCUUCUACUAUUGUUUUCAUGUGUAGAGCAUUCAACUAGCCUCUGUGAAAUAGUAAUGGAAGACGCUAUUUACAAUAAUCUAAAGCAGGGAGAACACGUAGGUACCAAAAAUAUCACGACACAAUUUUACAAGCAGUUUGACUAUACUAAAAGAACUUCAGUCAAUUAACAUAAACUGAAUUACUGAAGCAAGCUAUAAGAUCUUGGAACCUACAUCAACAACAUGGUUCAAAAAGAAAUACCAAGAGCAAAUGAAAACCGCGCUACAUCUUUCAGUUCUAGUAAAUAAGUUUGUCACAGGUUUGCAAGUAAAAAAGCAGAUUACUCAAUAAAAGAAAUGCCAACAUAUAACGCCCAAACCAAAAGUAUAAAUCAAGAACCCUAUGGAGAAUCUAAAAAAGAAGCAAGAAAAUAGGAAGUGGCAAAACUACAAUAUAAUGCCAGAUAUGAAUGAUAAAUCAAGAACUAUCUUGAUAUUUUAAAGAGGCAAGAGAAUACGAAGGGAAAAUACUCAUAUACUGGCAAAUCUUCCAAGUUCUCUAUCGAACUCCAAAGGGAGAAGAAAAAAACACAUCGAACAUCUGGAUUAAACAAAGUGAACCACCGAAGGAGACCACAAUAUUGCAAAAUGGAUUAAGCUUGCUUUAAAUAAUGAUUUGUCAUUCGAAAAAGCCAAAAAGGGCUGCAUCAAUAUCAUACAAAAUCGCAGGAGACCACAAUAAUGCAAAUUGGAUAAGCUUUAUUAAAUUACUGAUUUACCAUUUGAAAAAGCCAAAAUAACUGCCUCAAUAUCAUCCAAAAAAUUGCAUCGAUAGCAGCAUUUACACAAGCUGGAUGAGAACAUUUGCAUUUAGAUAAAGAUAGCCACAAGAGAGAACCAAUAGAUUGUGAUUUGUGAAUCCAAAAAAAGUUAUGUUUCUUCAAGUGACUAGGUUAAACAAGUACAAGAAGAAGCCUAGCCUCCAAACCUGUAAGGAGAAAUGAACAAUAUCACACAGAGAAAAGCAAGAGAUCUGGAACACAGAUCACUUUGAACCAAGGGUUGAAAUUUUCUGUGUCAGUGGCUUGCUUGAUUGGCACUUGCAUGGUUUAUACGAGGCCAGUGACAUCAGCAAGUACUGGCAUACGGCCAGACUAGUGUCAAUGUUGUGUGUUGAUAUGGCACAUGCAUGGUAUGUAUUGUCCCAUGAUGACUGGAACUUAGAUCUAAUAAAGUUUACAAACCUUUAGCAUAAAAUGAGGUGUGAACAUGUCACUUUUUAUGCAUAAGUUACAAACAAGGAUAGAAAAAUUGUGUGACAAAUUAAGUUUAGAAAGAAUAUUAUACUUAGGAACCAAAUAAUAUUCAUGCUCAUAGAUUAGGAAUUGCCAGUUUAUGAGAUGAUAAUAAAAGUUCAGAUAAUAAAUAUAGCAAUCACAAGACUUAAUUAAUGACAGCAAACUCAAAGAAUGGAACCCAAAUUUCAAUAAUCAUGUGUCAAGCUUUAGAUGCAGUAAUCUAUUGCAAGAGAUUAGGAAAAGAAUGUAGGGUUUCCUUAAUUCCAAAAAUUAUAAAGGCUUGCAUGGGGAAUGCUUUUGACUGAAGUUUUGUUAUACACCAUGACAGAGUGCUAACUCUAGGCUAGUUGUCGAUACAUUCUCAAACACUAGCUUACCAAGCUUACUAAAAGGUAGGCUGUCUUUGAUAGCAUUCUUGAAAUUCAUUUUCAUAUGAUAUUGGAUUAUCAAAAUAGACGGCUACAAUGAUGAGAUUGGGUCACCUAUGUUACUUUGAAUGAAGCUACUGGCAAACUCCAUUAAGUAUUAGCCGUGAAGAGUAAGUACCUUUUCUUUUUCUUGAUAAACAGAGAAAACUUAUCUCAAAGAUUUUUAACUCCAGAACCCGGGAAUUUUAAUUUCAUAAUAUUAUCUAGUGUUUGAUUUUAUUUGAAGAAAAAUGCCAGUUUCUGUGUGAACAGAUUCCUCUGCUUUAUAAAAAUGGCGAUCAAAAAAAGAGAUGCCGUUAUCAUGUUUAGAAGAAUUCCAUCACUUCAAACCCAAACAAAGUGGGAUGCACAAGAUGGCACCUACUACUUAUAAAUCCAUUUCAUUUUGCACUAUAAGCAAUACGACAUUUUUACUAACCGUUUAUAGACAAUAUAAUUGUUCUAAUAUAAAUAUCUUGCUUAUUACUUACAAGGAGAUCCACGUGACACACUCUGACAUGCAACUGGUUUAGGCCUAAGAUAUAAUACUAAUAUUCUGACCACUACAACUGAAAGUAGUGACUUGAUUCUAACAGAAAUUCAAAGAUAACAGAAGUAGGGUAUAGGAAAUUACAGUUGUGGCUCCAUUCUGAUCUGAUGAACUCAAACUAAGUAGAACUUAUCUACAAAAUAUAAAUAGAGCAAGAUAAGCAGCGUAGGUGAUUGCUCACUUCUCAUAAAUGUCAAAGAAAACUAAAAUGAAUAUAGUGAAAGAAAAAGAGAAGCUUUGAGAAAAAGAUUGUGGAAGGAAGUUAGAUAUUGGCAUGCAUUAAAACAUCAAUGACUUGCAACAUAGACAAACAAGGCGCAAGCUUAAUUGGAUAUAAAACAAUACAAACAAUGAGUACUAAUAUAUGCUACAGAUGAUUACAAAUUCCAUAUAGAGUUGUGAGUUUUGUCUUCAAGUGGACUCUGUGAAAAAGAAUCACCUCAAAACCAUAAAAAGAAGGAAAUCAGUGCCUCUGAUUAUUCUUUCAAGCUACCACAUUGUACAAAAAUUGAUACAGCAAAGAGGACCAAAAGAAUCAUGGGAGACCGCAAUAAUACAAAUUGGAUAGGCUUUCUUUAAUUGCUGAUCUAUCAUUUGAAAAAGCCAAAAUGACUGCAUCAAUAUCAUCCAAAAAAUCGCAUCGAUAGCUGCAUUUACACAUAUGCCGGAUGAAAACAUCUUCAUUUAGACAAAGGCAACCACAAUAAAAAAUCAAACCACAAGAAAAAACCAAUAGAUUGUGAUUUGUAAAUCAGAAAUCUUGAUUUUAAUCACAGACCAAGAAAUCUGUAUUAAAGUUUGUUUAUUGUUGGGUAGUAGGUUUGUCCGGUGCGUUUGGCUAUCAAUGAAAUAGGUAGGUUUGAUUUCAAUUAGGUCUCUCUUUGUAGUGUUGUCUAUAGUAGAUGUAUGGUUGAAGGGUUUUUUCAAUCGUAGUUUAAUGUUGGGUAGUGUCGGCCGUUUGCUAUGUUAUAUUGUUUGGGUAUUUUUGAACUUGUGGUACAUUGUUGCGCUUUACAAGGUUAUCUUUCUGGUUGAAAAAUUGAGACACUUUCUCCAGUUUGGUAUGUUUAGUUGCCACGGCAACUUGUAUGAUUGAAUUUUGUUUCCGCUGUCAAUAUUUGAGUUUUCAAGGUUUUGGUUGCUAUUGCUUAAUUUAUGUUUGUUUUGUGCGAUUUAAGUUCUUGUAAUUUUCAAGCUUUGCAUAAGUGAUUCUUGACUUCUUCAGAAGAUACCAUUUGAUAAAUCUUUUUAUAUACUUGAUAUAUUCUUUUGUUUUUUUGACUCCAUUAGGGAUUUGUUUAUUUUUGUGGUUGUCUAACAUGGAUGCUUUCAGAAGCUUAUUUGUAAUAUCUAAUAGAUUUUUCUACUAAUAUUUGCAUUAAUUACUGUUGGUAGCUUGGUUCUGAUGAAGAAAAUAGUGUCGAAUUUGCAUGGUUUAUGCUGUGUUAGGUUUUUCAUCUGUCCAUAUUUGCAUGGUUUUUAUCUACUGCAUAAAGAUUUGCAUGCGGAGGUAGAUCUUGCUCCUAUAACCUCUACCCCGAGGAUCUUGCCACCGCCACCGAGCAUGGGUGUCUUGUUGUGAGUGCCCCCACGGCUAACACGGUUGCGGCUGCCGAGCAUGGGAUUGCUCUGCUCACUGCCAUGGCCCGAAACAUUGCUCAGGCUGAUGCCUCCCUUAAAGUUGGUAUGCUUCUAGCACUAUAAUCUAAUAGAUCUGGACGUCGGUUUGAAAGUGCUGCAUGAUUGAAAAAUGCCUUCUUUAACAACCAAAUAUGAGAUAUCGAUUGGCAAGUUUGUUUAUUUGUAUAUUUUUGCUUGAGCAGUGGUUCUCUUAUGCUAUGAUUUACUUUAGAUGGAUAAUAGAAUCUCAUAAUUCCAUUUUCAUUUUGUCAAUAUCAUGGUAUUAUUAUUAUUAUUCUUUCGUUUAUUUUUUUGUUUGUUUCUUUUCUUUUUUCCUCCUUUCUUUCUUUCCUUUCUUUUUUCCUCCUUUCUUUCUUUCCUUUCUUUUUUCCUUGUCUUCUUCUUUCGUUUCUUUCUUUCCUUUCUUCUUCUUUCCUCACAUGAAUGGGUUUUGAGGUCCUGUCCUAUUCCCAUUUUCUCGCAGGAAUAGGAUGAGAUGCCCCCCCGUCUUGCCAGGAUCUAAACAUCGGUGCCUUGUAUUAUAUGUUUUUGAAUGGUUGUCAUGAUUUGUGUUAUUGUGAAGCACUCAAUUUGUCAAUUGGCUGCCUUAGACCCAUCCUUAUGACUACUAUGUCUAUUCCUGGCCUCAAAAAUCAAAGCCUUGUUCUCCUUUAUCUCAAAGGAUAAAAUGGAUCUCACAGCAUUGGAAUUUAAUAGUGGCUGUACCUAACCUAUAUACUGUAAAUUUAUUUGAGGAUGCUUAUAAAAAUUGACUGUCACUUAGACAAACCCUCCUAAAAUCAAAAUAUUCUUUUGCUAAAACUAUCCUAGUCAAUUAUAUGUUCCAAUUUGUUUCAAGUUUGUCGGUAAAUCUUUUUCAGACCAUUCUCUAUAACUUUGGUUUCUAAUAAGCCAGUGCACUCUAUUCUAUUGCUUCAAUUUGUAAACCAGCAAUAUUAACUGUUUCAUGGGAUACUCUAAAGAUGCCAAGAAAAACUUUUAAUCUCAAUAUUUUAGCAUUCCAAGACAAACUGCUGGAUUUUUGGAAAUGGACACAUUUUGAAGGUAGAGUUGUUGGUGAACGAAUAUAAUAUUCUUUUGGUAAUUCACUUUUGUAAGAUUCUGUAGUGUUGCCUAUUGAUGCAUAAGAAAUAAUGAGCUCUAAAGAAUGUUUAUUCUGACAUUUGCUCCAUGAUUUUAAUAUGCAAUUAGCAAAAACAUUGUGCCUUUAAAUUGUUUUCAACUUCUAACUACAUUUACUUUUAUGGAAACAAAAUCGGUUCUUUAAUAAUUUUUUAGCAAAUGAAUUGUUACAUAUUCCAUAAAAUUUCAUGAAGCAAUUCCUUCCUAGAUGCUGGCACUCUCGAAGGAUACUUAUGUAAGCCCCUUUGUUAAUAUUUGAAUUCUAUUUUCUUCUUCUUGUUUUCUAGGUAAUUAUUUUCUCUAGUAAGGCCGUGUUUGGGAAAUCCAGUAAGAUUGAGCUGGAUUUACUGAUGGAUUUAUGGAUUGGCAGCCUAAAUAGGUAUGGUCCAUGUCAACCCAACAUCCCCACAGCCUGAAUCCUAUGAGAGGAAAAAAGACCUCCAUGGGUCUUUCUCUCCUUCCUGCAGACCAAUAGGCCCACAGGCUAGGAUCUAGGCUAGGACUUGGGUGGGCCCUUAGAAAACUACAGGCUGGGCAGGCCAACAAAUCCAAUUCCUUCUGGAAUAUAUCCAAAUAGGCACUAAAUGGGAAGUUUAUCAUACCUUUAUAUAUGAACAAGAAACUUUCUGAAGUUCUCUUGAGGAGAGAUUUCUGGUGCUUGUAACUGGAGCUUUCAAGAAGUUUUAAGAUAUCACAUGGUGUCAUAUAGAGUUUUGGAUGACCUACAAUUGCAUGCAAUCUCUAAUGAAUAGAUUUUCAUCGACAUGGUGCCUCUACCAAAAACCCAAACACCAUGGCAGGGAUGUUAGGAACUAUUCUCCUUUAAUUCUUAAAACAAAUGCAACGACAUGUCACAAAAGAUUUUGGUAUCUUGGGCGUGUAGGGUUCCCCCCCUAUAUGUGGGGAAUCCUAGGGCUUUCAAGUUUAUUAAUCCUCUACAUUUACUUGUCCAUCAAGAUCUGUCAGUUGAAGUAAUUUUCUAGGUAUUUAUUGAACAUAUUACGAAUUGCUGUGACUCAAUUUUCUUUUACCUUGGUUAACCUGUUCCUGCAACCUAAAUGAAUUCUAUUUUGUUCUUUCCCAUGCCACAAGCUAUACCUACUUUCUUACAUCAUUUCGUUGUUUUUGAUAUUAUAUAUACAUGCUGUCCGACGAAGUUGUCUAAUGUUUUUUUUUAAUGACAAACUGCAUCUAAGUAAGAUGGAUGCUUCCUCGACUUUGGUGGUUGGAGGGUUCGAUUGGCCUUAAGGUUACACUAUUACAGAAGUUGCAGCAGUUGCAUCCCUGCAAGGAUAUCUUUACAUGCUGGGUGUGGCCAAUGUCUGCAGCCGAAGGAUGAUCAGGCUUCUUGUGGCUAUAGAUGUCCCACCUUUAUCAAGGCAAGUUGCAUGCAUCUUGGUUGAUAGAUUAAACCAUCUCUUUCCGCAUUAAAAUGUGGAGAUCUAGUUAUGAUAUCAGGUAAAUUAACAUGCGCAUAAUUGUUCUACUUAAGAGUGAUGACCUCGUACGGUUGCCAUUAUAAAUCUUCGAAUCCUCUGGGUUCUUCUUGAAAAUAGUUUUUGAGUGUAUCCUGGGGUUUCCUUCAGCAUAUGUAGAGUGUAUAGCCAUCCUUAGAAGAUGGAAACAUACAGUACAAUCAGUUGCAAGUGCCCCUGCUGAUCUUUGUUGAAAAAGAGGAAAAAGAUUGAUCACAAUCAAGUACCCAACAUUAAUGUAGAAUAGAGCUUUAGAGUCUUAAUCCUUUUGGGGAAACAAAUCAUGCAUCAUAGAAAACUGCAAAAAUUGACAGACAAUGAUAUGCAUUAGUUAUGGCAGUCCAAUUAGGCACUAGACUACCAUCAAGAGUAGGCCAGAUGCAACAAUUUAGAUGCGCACUAGAUCAGUAUUUCCAACAAAUUUUUGUUAUUCUCAAAAUGCUCCUAUAAUAGUCAGAAUUUUUAAUUAUUCUUAGAAUAUCCCUCUUUUCAUAUUCUAAAAAUAUAUACACCUUAUGAGGUACUGCUGGAAUUAUAAAUAAAUAUCUACCAAAAAGAAAUCUCUGUUAUUUACAAAAAGUAAGAUCAGUCUCAUCCAUUAAAUUAGUUCGAAGCCUCUUAUCCAUUGAAACAAGAUUCUUUAUGAGCUCAAUCCCACUUAAAACUAAAGCACUCUUUGCAUCUUUGUACUUCGCAUUCAAUCAUGAUGCUGUGCCCGAGGCUAUUUGGCCAGAGAACUUCAAGAAGUUGGAAGUUCUAUAGGAGAUCGAUUCUAAAAUCUGCCUCAUGCACCUUUGUCAUAAAGACAAAAAAGAUUUAUUCAUACAUCCCCUCGGGUACCUUACCAUUUGCCAAGAAGGACAACGGGUGGGGAUCUUAGCUAAGAAGGAUGACAUGGUUAGGAUCCGGGAGUUGGAGAAAUUUGAUUUGAGGGACUUCAAUGGAUGAAAGGAACCGCAAGUCACAACAUAUAUGGGUGUGCUCAAUUGGUGCUUUUCUUCACCUUCUUAUUGUGGUUUCUUUGAUUCCUAUAAGAAAUCAAUAUUUUUGUUUUGAAUAGUUUCUUGAGUAUAAUUUCUUGGUUCUUCAGUAUAUUAAUUGAGCCUCGCAAUUUAUAAAUAAAUAUAUUAAUUGAUACAUCUCUUUUAACUAAUAUUUUCGGACUGAGAAUAAGAGAAGGUAUGUAGAAAGCAGCAUGAAAAAAAAAAUUAUUGCUAAAAAGCAAACCGACGGUAAUUGCUGGCUUGAUUUGGUGUUUAUAGCUUAAUGAACUUAUAAGCCAUGUUCAUGGUAAACACGAAAAAUAAUUCAACAUGUUAAAGAGGGACUUCAGAACAAUUUUCCAAUAUAUCUAAGAAAUUAUGACUCAACAGGUGAUAAAUAAGUAAUUUUAUCACCAAGUCGGUAAGGGUUGCCGACUUAGAGGUUAAACUUCCCACCCCUUUCUCCCAUUACUUGGGUCCUCUUUGUCUCGGUUUCUCCCCCUUGUUUUCUUCGUGGCGACGACGAGCGUGGUGACGAUCGUGGCAUCGUCCUCAUCCGUGGCAUCGUCCUCGUCCUUGGGUCGUCCUCGUCCAUGGUGUCCUUGGGUCGUCCUCGUGCAUCAAGCACCGUAGAUGACGAGAACGACGGCGAGAAGGUGCGGAGGCGCCAUUGCUGGAGGCCCGAUAAGCAAUCCAUGCCCACUUCUGUAUUUUCUUGCUUUCCUUUUGGAAUCAAGGUCCUCUUGGUCUUGUUUCUCCCCUUUCUAUAGGUCUUCUUCGUGGCGACGACGAGCUUGGUGACGAUCGUGGCAUCGUCCUUGUCCAUGGCUUCUUUGGGUCGUCCUCGUGCAUCAAUAACUGCACCGUAGAUGACGAGAAUGACGGCGAGAAGGUGCGGAGGCGCCAUCGCUGGAGACCCGAUAAGCGAUCCAUGCCCACUUCUGUAUUUUCUUGCUUUCUCUUUUAGAUUCGAGAUGGUUCUUGAUUUCUAGUUGGGUUUUGUCGUUAUAUUCGUGAUUUUCUCCAAUUCCUAUUUUCGUUCGUGUUCUUUGAAUACUUCGUGGUUCUUGAUUUAUAGUUCAAGAUUUUGGUGUUAUUUGGUGAUAGUUUUCUGGAUUAUAGAUAUGUUUCUUGAUUUUGGGUCCGGAUUUGAUGUUAUAGGUUGAUUUCCCUGUUAUUUUGUGCCUAGAUUAUCUGUAGGGUUUUAGUUUUGACAGAUUCUAGAUCUGGAUCUUCUUUAAGUGAUUUUUUGAUUUUCUUGCAUUUUGAUCAUCUUGUAUGUCCGACUGGUUGAUGAUGGGGAAAUUUUUAAUAAUUUUUAAUAUGUUUAAUAAUUUUCAAAGGAGGGAUUUCUUUGAUCUUCCAAGGGUGACCUUUUGUAGAUUCUUCAGUUUUGGUUAUGGUGAUGCUAAUGAAAAGAUGAAGUUUUUGUUCCUUCUGUGUAGUUUCCUGGGAUCAAUAUUUGGAAAAUAAGUGAAGCAUCUGUUUCUUUGGGAUUAUCUACUGCCAUGUGGUAUCUUCAGAAACAUCGCAUUUGACAUUUUUUUUUUGAAAGGCAAUCUGGAUGCUUAAUCAUAGUCUGUUUUUCGGAUUAUCUGGAACUUACCAGUUUUAUGUGAAUUCUUUUUCUUUUUGAAAUAUAAAAUAUGUUAUCAGUUUCUCUCUUGCAUCUUUUAUUAGUUUUCAAAUCUUGUUAGAGAUUGGAUUCGGCUUUUGGAUUAAUGGGUAGAGGCAGAGGGAAGGGGAGGAAGUUAACAGUAGUAACAAGUCAUGAAGAUCCAGGGAGUGGUGGUGAAGAGGUUCUUCCUAAAUAUAAGAGGAGGGGAAGGCCACAAAAACCUUUAAAAGUAGACUUGGACAAAGAGGAUACUGACAAGAUUGAGGAAGAAGAAGGAGAUGAUGUGAACCUUCUGCCUCGAGCAAAGAUAUAAAAGGCUCGACAGUUGAGAAUGGGAAGAAGAGGAAGAGGUAUUCACAAGUAAAAGAAAAUUCUGAAUCAGUCCUGGAGGAAAAUGGUACUGGGGUGAGAUCCAACAAUGAGGAGUCAACUAGGUCUAACGGCUUUCGGCAAAAUGGAAGCCAGCGAAAGAGCAAACCUUGGCAGGCUGCUGAAGCAGGAGUUGAGUCCAAGCGAGAUUUGCAAUAGUAUCUCUUUUGGGUUUUCCAUCAUCCUAUUGCCAGCUAUAUCGCGCAGGUCAAAGUCCUUAGUGGCCUACCUUUUCUUUUCCAUGUUCCUUCCUAUUUUGCUUUUUAUCUCGUUUUGUCCAUGAAUGAACUUAACUGGGAGGUGGCGGUCUGAAUACGCUGUUUUAUAAUUUUCACUGACACCAUAAAGCUGCUAUAAGGUAUUUGCUUUAGCUUAAAUGGAGUUUCUGUAGGCUGCAGAAUUAUAAGCAUAAAGUUUGCUUUAGCUUGUUUUAUCUC